rnacentral:snRNA from 1 species
UGGUCAUAUGCCCAAUUGGACCA